AUGUACGGACUGGAACCUAAUAUGCCUCAAAACUAUCAUUCAGCAAACUGGCUUGUGGGUUGUUUUGAACAUCAAGGGCGGUACAAAAAUACUAUGAACCAAUAUACUUUUGAUUCUGGAUAUUCCCUGUCACCUCAUUCUACACUAAGGUGGUUCCUGGUUGAGAAGAUUGGUUGUUGGAAGAUGGGCUAUUUCAGAGUGGAAACGUACACAAGAAAAAAAGCUAACUUCUGGGGAGUAAGUAUAAUUGGAAUUAUCCUCAUGUGA